CCGCUGGUUCCUGCGGCGGCGGCUGGAGCGGGCCGUGGCCCGGCUGAACCGGCGGCUGGUCCUGCCGAUCGAGCCGUUCAAGCUGCUCCGGCGGC
rnacentral:tRNA from 1 species